rnacentral:lncRNA from 1 species
UGUUUUCCAUAGUGGCUGCACCAGUUUGCACUCCCACCAGCAGUGUAUGAGAGUUCCCUUCUCUCCACAUCCUCGCCAGCCCUUGUUAUCUCCUGUCUUUUUGAUGACAGCCUUUCUCACAGAACGUGUAACACCAAGACUGAACCCUAAGGUAAACCUUGGACUUUGGGUAUUGACGACGUGUCAGCGCAAGUUCAUCCUUGGUAACAAAUGUACCACCUGGAUGCUUGCUGAGUUAUUCCCCUGCCAGUGCAUUUGAAGAAGCAUACAUUUUUCUUAUUUAGAGGUGUUUCCAGUGCCCUCCUCAUAGCUGCUUGUGCCUCCGGGUCACUGGUGCCUUGCUGCUGCUGGUGUCACUGCCAUUGCUGGCAUCGCCACUGAGGUCACUGAGAUAGCAGGCACCUUCAGCACCUCCAGGAUCACCUGGGCCAUGGGAACUGCUGCAGCGGGGACAUGCUGUGCAGGGCUCAGUGGCUUCCCCACCAUCACUCGUGUUUGUGGGUGGUCAAGUAGGAACUGGGAUUCCAGAAGUGCUGACUCACUGACUGUCUGACCAGCACUGUGUAAGUGAGUCUGAACUGUUGAUGCGACUAGGAACAGCAGCAACUUCUCUGAGAAGUUGGCCUUUGCACCCUAGACGUAUGUUUUUGAAACAUCUGCGUGUGUCUGGGUUCCGGAUGUGAAAAAGUUCUCCCGUCCAUAUGCCUGCUAACACUAUGCUAUACUACACUGAAAGGGAGCGUAUUUUGAUCAGUUCUGUCACCCACCUGCUAUGCCCGUGCCUGGAGCUGCCACAGGCCGCAGGGGAUCAUCAGAUUUGAGGAGCAGGAUCGCGACGACUCCGCUGUCUGGUCAUCUCAGAGCGCUGGGCCUCGUUCUUCUCUGAAAAGUGGGAGAAGGACACAGUCCAACUCAUAACAGAGACCACUAUCUGAGACAGAAGAAUGAGUCCUUCACAGGUUGGGAGAAACACAGCCUGCUUCCGCCGGAGCAGAGGGGUCCUGGAAGUGCCCUGUGCUGCCUGAAAACUUCUGAGCUGCAAUGCUAUGCUUCCACGCUAUUUCUACUGCUCAAGAUUGAGUUUCAACAAUAUAUUGCUAGAAUAAAAAACGUACAAGUCUAUACGAAGAUAUUAAUUUGUGCAAGUUUUGUAUUCAUUGUCAUAUUUGAUUCUCACAACAGAGCUGUAAACCACAAAUUAUUAUUGUUGACAGUUUAAAUAGAACUUGUCUUCCAC